UUCAACAAUGGAAGAUAUUCUUGGAGAAUUAAAAGAACUUGGAGAAAAGACCGUUGCAAGUAAAAAAGAACCGAAGAUGUUGACAGAGCCUGUUAAAGAAAGGACCUAUACUGAACAGGCCCCAAAUAACCCAUCCUUAAAUCAACCUCUUGAACUUACUUCUGUUCCAACCUUAGAAACUGAAGAUUCAGCUGAGGACAUGGAG
rnacentral:lncRNA from 1 species